UACAUACUCCCUCUGUCCGAAAAUAUUUAUCGCAAAAAUGGAUAUAAAUGGAUGCAUCUAAAACUAAAAUAUGUCUAGAUACAUCCAUUCCUCCGAUAAGUAUUUCCGGAUGGAGGAAGUACUAC
rnacentral:pre_miRNA from 1 species